AAACAAAAACAGCGAAAAUGACCGCUUACGACUAAAAACUAUUUCACCCCUAUCUACUGACAGUAGAAUAAGCGUGCGCAUUGAUCUGUUUCUAGCACAAGUGGUAAAGAGUUUGAUGGUUGAUACUCGAGAUUCUAAGUUCGAAGUCUAGUUAUUUCACAUUUUUAACUAAGUUUACUUCUAACAAAAAAGGGAUAAUUGUCCACAUAUUCCUCAUACGUUCGAAAAUAUUCGAUUUACCCAUACUUUUUUUUUCGUUCUAAAAUGCCGCUCAUAUAUUCCACCGUUAUUGCAAAAUACCCCCGCAGUUAUCUUCUGUUAAGUUAACUUAGGUUAAACGUGAGUUAAAUAUCUACCACAGUUAAAAAAAAUUAAAAUGCCAAUUUUAACUUUAACUUAAGGACAAAUAAGAAAUGUUGGUGACGGUAGAGAGGUAUAUUGGAAAAGGCCAAAAGUCAAAAUAUUUUUUGUGCCCCUGACUUUAAGGGCAAAUAAGAAAGUCAGUGAUGGUGGAAGGGUAUAUUUAAAAGGGCAAAAUAGUAAUUUUACAGAGAUAAUAGAUUUAAUUAAUGAAUUUUAACUCUAGAAAUAUAUUAGAAAUAGGUUGGAACGUAGAAAAGAUAUUUUCAAUAUUAACCUACUAAGAAGGGUAAAUUGGAAAGUCGAAAAUUUUUCAGAAAUAUAUAAACAAUUGCCAAAAAAAAAAAAAUAAACGAACCGAAUAACAUACUUUUUUUUCAAAAAAAAAAAAAAAAAAAAA
rnacentral:lncRNA from 1 species